rnacentral:rRNA from 1 species
GUGCAGCAGUCGCGAAACUUUACAAUGUGCGAAAGCACGAUAAGGGAACUCUGAGUGCCUCCUAAGGAGGCUGUUCGGGUGUCUAAAAGCACCUGAAGGAAGGGCUGGUAAGACCGGUGCCAGCCGCCGCGGUAACACCGGCAGCCCAAGUGGUAGCCACGUUUAUUGGGUCUAAAGCGUCCGUAGCCGGCUGGGUAAGUUCCUUGGGAAAUUUGGCUGCUUAACAGUCAAGCUUUCAGGGAAUACUGCCCGGCUUGGGACCGGGAGAGGUCAGAGGUACUCCAGGGGUAAGGGGUGAAAUCCAUUAAUCCUUGGGGGACCACCGGUAGCG